GCCUGUAACAGCGGCUCCGCCACGCAGCGCUCUGACGGCGUACGCGGACAAACAUGACGUCAUCAUAUACGUGGACCGCGUCGCAGCACCCUCUAGGGCCGUAUGGAUGGCGGCACGAGCGCUGCGCAUACCAUUUCAGAUUAAAGACGACCACGAAAUCUUAAACGGCGACCCCUGUCGGUCGUUGCCGCUGAUUGAUGACAACGGGCUGGUGCUGUGGGACAGCCGCGUCAUACUGGCGUACUUUGGUAACAAGUUUGGCCGUCACUCGUCUAUGGUACCGUCCGAUCCCGCCGCCAGGGCGCGCAUGGACCAGAUGAUAGCUUGACGCACACUACUUUACCUG